AGAGUUUGAUCAUGGCUCAGAUUGAACGCUGGCGGCAGGCCUAACACAUGCAAGUCGAGCGGAUGAAGGGAGCUUGCUCCUGGAUUCAGCGGCGGACGGGUGAGUAAUGCCUAGGAAUCUGCCUGGUAGUGGGGGAUAACGUCCGGAAACGGGCGCUAAUACCGCAUACGUCCUGAGGGAGAAAGUGGGGGAUCUUCGGACCUCACGCUAUCAGAUGAGCCUAGGUCGGAUUAGCUAGUUGGUGGGGUAAAGGCCUACCAAGGCGACGAUCCGUAACUGGUCUGAGAGGAUGAUCAGUCACACUGGAACUGAGACACGGUCCAGACUCCUACGGGAGGCAGCAGUGGGGAAUAUUGGACAAUGGGCGAAAGCCUGAUCCAGCCAUGCCGCGUGUGUGAAGAAGGUCUUCGGAUUGUAAAGCACUUUAAGUUGGGAGGAAGGGCAGUAAGUUAAUACCUUGCUGUUUUGACGUUACCAACAGAAUAAGCACCGGCUAACUUCGUGCCAGCAGCCGCGGUAAUACGAAGGGUGCAAGCGUUAAUCGGAAUUACUGGGCGUAAAGCGCGCGUAGGUGGUUCAGCAAGUUGGAUGUGAAAUCCCCGGGCUCAACCUGGGAACUGCAUCCAAAACUACUGAGCUAGAGUACGGUAGAGGGUGGUGGAAUUUCCUGUGUAGCGGUGAAAUGCGUAGAUAUAGGAAGGAACACCAGUGGCGAAGGCGACCACCUGGACUGAUACUGACACUGAGGUGCGAAAGCGUGGGGAGCAAACAGGAUUAGAUACCCUGGUAGUCCACGCCGUAAACGAUGUCGACUAGCCGUUGGGAUCCUUGAGAUCUUAGUGGCGCAGCUAACGCGAUAAGUCGACCGCCUGGGGAGUACGGCCGCAAGGUUAAAACUCAAAUGAAUUGACGGGGGCCCGCACAAGCGGUGGAGCAUGUGGUUUAAUUCGAAACAACGCGAAGAACCUUACCUGGCCUUGACAUGCUGAGAACUUUCCAGAGAUGGAUUGGUGCCUUCGGGAACUCAGACACAGGUGCUGCAUGGCUGUCGUCAGCUCGUGUCGUGAGAUGUUGGGUUAAGUCCCGUAACGAGCGCAACCCUUGUCCUUAGUUACCAGCACCUCGGGUGGGCACUCUAAGGAGACUGCCGGUGACAAACCGGAGGAAGGUGGGGAUAACGUCAAGUCAUCAUGGCCCUUACGGCCAGGGCUACACACGUGCUACAAUGGUCGGUACAAAGGGUUGCCAAGCCGCGAGGUGGAGCUAAUCCCAUAAAACCGAUCGUAGUCCGGAUCGCAGUCUGCAACUCGACUGCGUGAAGUCGGAAUCGCUAGUAAUCGUGAAUCAGAAUGUCACGGUGAAUACGUUCCCGGGCCUUGUACACACCGCCCGUCACACCAUGGGAGUGGGUUGCUCCAGAAGUAGCUAGUCUAACCGCAAGGGGGACGGUUACCACGGAGUGAUUCAUGACUGGGGUGAAGUCGUAACAAGGUA
rnacentral:rRNA from 1 species